UACAGAGGGUGCAAGCGUUGUUCGGAAUUAUUGGGCGUAAAGCGCGUGUAGGCGGCUUAGCAAGUCGGGCGUGAAAGCCCUCGGCUCAACCGAGGAAGUGCACCCGAAACUGCUGAGCUUGAGUGCCGGAGAGGAUGGCGGAAUUCCCAGUGUAGUGGUGAAAUACGUAGAGAUUGGGAAGAACACCAGUGGCGAAGGCGGCUAUCUGGACGGUUACUGACGCUAAGACGCGAAAGCGUGGGGAGCAAACAGG
rnacentral:rRNA from 1 species